UAAAAGAAUAUUAUUAAUGUUCAACGGACUUGUUUCUCUUUUAUGCAGCAAAACUCAUGCGAAUUAUCUGCCAAACCCAAAUUCUCAAAGCCUUUCAACCCAUUGCAACACAAAGGUCGUGUUUCAGGACCACCGGUGUUCUGGCUGUGACAAACCUACCCAUCAAGAGAUGGAGAGCUUGAGUCAGGCCAGGUUGCUUAGAAAGCAAAGUGCAGGUUCUAGAAAAGCACAUGACCAUCCCAGUAGUCAGAAGGAACCACCAGACGUGUCAGAUGUACCAAGAAGGUCUGCAACAUGACAAGACCCUCUUACCUGUGAGUGAGACCACUGCUCCUCGGCACCCCACCAUCAUCACCAUGAGUGGAGACCCCAGAACUGUGUGCAUGCCUGACAAGACUGUCAACUCUCCCUCCCCAUUCCUACCCUCAGCACUCAAAACCUCACCACUGUCAUCUGCUUGAUACUUUGGGAAUUUUUCUCAUUUUCCCAGGACAUCUAGAACAUCCUUGACCCACAACUCUGCCUUCCCCAGGAUUCUCUGGACAGUGAGCCAGUCACAACUGCCUCUUCUCCCUAUCUCCCUUCCCUGCUUAAUUCUUCUCUACAGCAUUUAACACUAUCAAACAGGCUAUAUUUAACUGACAUAUUUGUUUUGUCUCUCUUGACUAGAACAGAAACAACAUGAAGACAAGGGAUUUCUGUUGUAUUCUGCAGUCCCUAGAUUGUUGCCUGUUUCAUAUUAGACACGCAAUC
rnacentral:lncRNA from 1 species